rnacentral:lncRNA from 1 species
UUCUACUUUAGCUCCUCAGAAUCAUACAGUAUUGCUAUUAAAAUCUUGUCAUUAAGAGAAUUAAUAUAAUUCUAUUAGUAUAAACUAUAUAAUAAUUGAAUCCAGAAUUCUUUGUGAAUCCAAAAUUAGUUUUGAGGAAGUAUUUCACUUCAGUUCACCAAAUAGUGUGUAAGUACAGCAUUAAUGACAAGUGAAUAUUUUAUCACUUAAUUCUUUUGUGUGCUCUGAAAACCAUGCCUCAGUAUCUAUGUCACUUUUAGCCAUUUUCCACAUUUCUGCUUUUAAAACUGUUUCUAGAAUCUACUAAUAAUUUUAAACUUAUUCUAGAAUGGUGGAGCAUAGACCAUCUCCAUGUGCUCUUUAUGGGCAGAUAACUACUCAAGAGGAAGCUGAAUGCUCAGGC